rnacentral:rRNA from 1 species
UACGUAGGGUGCAAGCGUUGUCCGGAUUAUUGGGCGUAAAGAGCUCGUAGGCGGUCUGUCGCGUCUGCUGUGAAAACUCAGGGCUUAACCCUGAGCUUGCAGUGGGUACGGGCAGACUAGAGUGCGGUAGGGGAGACUGGAAUUCCUGGUGUAGCGGUGAAAUGCGCAGAUAUCAGGAGGAACACCGGUGGCGAAGGCGGGUCUCUGGGCCGUAACUGACGCUGAGGAGCGAAAGCAUGGGGAGCGAACAGG